AGCGAACGCUGGCGGCAGGCUUAACACAUGCAAGUCGAGCGCCCCGCAAGGGGAGCGGCAGACGGGAGAGUAACACGUGGGAACAUACCUUUUGGUUCGUCACAACUGAGGGAAACUUCAGCUAAUACCGGAUAAGCCCUUCCGGGGAAAGAUUUAUCGCCGAAAGAUUGGCCCGCGUCUGAUUAGCUAGUUGGUGAGGUAACGGCGCACCAAGGCGACGAUCAGUAGCGGGUCUGAGAGGAUGAGCAGCCUCACUGGGACUGAGACACGGCCCAGACUCCUACGGGAGGCAGCAGUGGGGAAUAUUGGACAAUGGGGGCAACCAUGAUCCAGCCAGGCCGGGUGAGUGAUGAAGGCCGUAGGGUUGUAAAGCUCUUUUGCCCGGGAAGAUAAUGACGGUACCGGGAGAAUAAGCCCCGGCUAACUUCGUG
rnacentral:rRNA from 1 species